rnacentral:lncRNA from 1 species
UUGACGAACCCCAAGGUGUGCUUAUGUGUCGGUCAUCAACACUCGCAGUUUUGGCCGAUUCUGGCCCGUUUCGUGGACUAUUACUCACUGUUUUGGCGUCCCGGGGUGAUUUCCACGAUUGACGAACCCCAAGGUGCGCCUACGUGUCGGGCAUCAACACUCGCAGUUUUGGUCGAUUCUGGCCUGUUUCGUGGACUAUUACUCACUAUUUUGGGGUCUCGGAGUGAUUUCCACGAUCGACGAACCCUUAGGUGCGUUUACGUGUCGGUCAUCUACACUUGCAGUUUUGACCGAUUCUGGCCCGUUUCGUGGACUAUUACUCACUGUUUUGGGGUCCCGGAGUGAUUUCCACGAUUGACGAACCCCAAGGUGCGCUUACGUGUCGGUCAUCAACACUCGCAGUUUUGGCCGAUUCUGGCCCGUUUCGUGGACUAUUACUCACUGUUUUGGCGUCUCGGAGUGAUUUCCAUGAUUGACGAACCCCAAGGUGCGCUUA